AUGAACGCUGGCGGCGUGCCUAAUACAUGCAAGUCGAGCGCACAGAUGAGGAGCUUGCUCCUCUGACGUUAGCGGCGGACGGGUGAGUAACACGUGGAUAACCUACCUAUAAGACUGGGAUAACUUCGGGAAACCGGAGCUAAUACCGGAUAAUAUAUUGAACCGCAUGGUUCAAUAGUGAAAGACGGUUUUGCUGUCACUUAUAGAUGGAUCCGCGCCGCAUUAGCUAGUUGGUAAGGUAACGGCUUACCAAGGCAACGAUGCGUAGCCGACCUGAGAGGGUGAUCGGCCACACUGGAACUGAGACACGGUCCAGACUCCUACGGGAGGCAGCAGUAGGGAAUCUUCCGCAAUGGGCGAAAGCCUGACGGAGCAACGCCGCGUGAGUGAUGAAGGUCUUCAGAUCGUAAAACUCUGUUAUUAGGGAAGAACAAAUGUGUAAGUAACUAUGCACGUCUUGACGGUACCUAAUCAGAAAGCCACGGCUAACUACGUG
rnacentral:rRNA from 1 species